rnacentral:rRNA from 1 species
UACGUAGGGGGCAAGCGUUGUCCGGAUUUAUUGGGCGUAAAGAGCGUGUAGGCGGCCAUACAGGUCAGCUGUGAAAACUCGAGGCUCAACCUCGAGACGUCGGUUGAAACCGUAUGGCUAGAGUCCGGAAGAGGAGAGUGGAAUUCCCGGUGUAGCGGUGAAAUGCGCAGAUAUCGGGAAGAACACCCGUGGCGAAGGCGGGUCUCUGGGCCGUUACUGACGCUGAGGAGCGAAAGCGUGGGGAGCGAACAGG